rnacentral:rRNA from 1 species
AUUGAACGCUGGCGGAAUGCUUUACACAUGCAAGUCGAACGGCAGCACGGACUUCGGUCUGGUGGCGAGUGGCGAACGGGUGAGUAAUGUAUCGGAACGUGCCCAGUCGUGGGGGAUAACGUAGUGAAAAUUACGCUAAUACCGCAUACGAUCUAUGGAUGAAAGCGGGGGAUCGCAAGACCUCGCGCGAUUGGAGCGGCCGAUAUCAGAUUAGGUAGUUGGUGGGGUAAAGGCCCACCAAGCCAACGAUCUGUAGCUGGUCUGAGAGGACGACCAGCCACACUGGAACUGAGACACGGUCCAGACUCCUACGGGAGGCAGCAGGGGGGAAUUUUUGACAAUGGGCGAAAGCCUGAUCCAGCCAUUCCGCGUGCAGGAUGAAGGCCCUCGGGUUGUAAACUGCUUUUGUACAGAACGAAAAGGUUUCUACUAAUACUAGGAGCUCAUGACGGUACUGUAAGAAUAAGCACCGGCUAACUACGUGCCAGCAGCCGCGGUAA